UACGGGGGGCAAGCGUUGUUCGGAAUUACUGGGCGUAAAGGGCGCGUAGGCGGCCUGCUAAGUCGGAUGUGAAAUCCCUCGGCUCAACCGAGGAACUGCAUCCGAUACUGGCGGGCUUGAAUCCGGGAGAGGGAUGUGGGAAUUCCAGGUGUAGCGGUGAAAUGCGUAGAGUAUCUGGAGGAACACCGGUGGCGAAGGCGGCAUCCUGGACCGGUAUUGACGCUGAGGCGCGAAAGCUGAGGGAGCAACGGGG
rnacentral:rRNA from 1 species